AAAGGUAAGCUACUAAGAGCGAAUGGUGGAUGCCUUGACUGGUAAAGGCGAUGAAGGACGUACUAGACUGCGAUAAGCUACGGGGAGCUGUCAAGAAGCUUUGAUCCGUAGAUUUCCGAAUGGGGCAACCCAAUGUAUAGAGAUAUACAUUACCUAUAUAGGAGCGAACGAGGGGAAUUGAAACAUCUUAGUACCCUCAGGAAAAGAAAUCAAUAGAGAUUGCGUCAGUAGCGGCGAGCGAAAGCGCAAGAGGGCAAACCCAGUGCUUGCACUGGGGGUUGUAGGACUGCAAUGUGCAAGAGCUGAGUUUAGCAGAACAUUCUGGAAAGUAUAGCCAUAGAGGGUGAUAGUCCCGUAUGCGAAAAACAAAGCUUAGCUAGCAGUAUCCUGAGUAGGGCGGGACACGAGGAAUCCUGUCUGAAUCCGGGUCGACCACGAUCCAACCCUAAAUACUAAUACCAGAUCGAUAGUGCACAAGUACCGUGAGGGAAAGGUGAAAAGAACUGAGGUGAUCAGAGUGAAAUAGAACCUGAAACCAUUUGCUUACAAUCAUUCAGAGCACUAUGUAGCAAUACAGUGUGAUG
rnacentral:rRNA from 1 species